rnacentral:rRNA from 1 species
AGUGAACGCUGGCGGUAGGCCUAACACAUGCAAGUCGAACGGCAGCACAGUAAGAGCUUGCUCUUACGGGUGGCGAGUGGCGGACGGGUGAGGAGUACAUCGGAAUCUACUUUUUCGUGGGGGAUAACGUAGGGAAACUUACGCUAAUACCGCAUACGACCUACGGGUGAAAGCAGGGGAUCUUCGGACCUUGCGCGACUGAAUGAGCCGAUGUCGGAUUAGCUAGUUGGCGGGGUAAAGGCCCACCAAGGCGACGAUCCGUAGCUGGUCUGAGAGGAUGAUCAGCCACACUGGAACUGAGACACGGUCCAGACUCCUACGGGAGGCAGCAGUGGGGAAUAUUGGACAAUGGGCGCAAGCCUGAUGCAGCCAUACCGCGUGGGUGAAGAAGGCCUUCGGAUUGUAAAGCCCUUUUGUUGGGGAAGAACAGCAGCAGGUUUAUACCCCGCUGUUCUGACGGUACCCAAAGAAUAAGCCCCGGCUAACUUCGUG